rnacentral:lncRNA from 1 species
UAGGCAGUUCAUCGACCCAUUUUCUUUCUGCACCUUCGAGUUUCUUCUUCCAGAUAAAUCGCUCAACGUCAGCUUUUUUAGUAGAGGAUAAAGCUUCGGCCUCGAUCCAUUUAGUAAAGUAGUCUGUGGUGACAAUCAUCAUGUCUUUCUUGGCAGGUGCUAGUGGCAUGGGUCCCACUAAGUCAAUGGUCCAUUGUAUGAAUGGCCAGGUAUCGGCUUGUAUCGCUGGCAUUGAUCGCAUCUUUUGACAUAAUCUGUGUAGUCGUGUCUCAUGUUAGGCCAGAAGUAGCCUAUGUUUAGAGCUUUCUGAGCAAGUGAUAUGCCCCCAGAAUGGUUA